GUCCAGACUCCUACGGGAGGCAGCAGUGGGGGAUAUUGCACAAUGGGGGAAACCCUGAUGCAGCGACGCCGCGUGGGCGAAGAAGUAUUUCGGUAUGUAAAGCCCUAUCAGCAGGGAAGAAGAAAUGACGGUACCUGAGUAAGAAGCACCGGCUAAAUACGUGCCAGCAGCCGCGGUAAUACGUAUGGUGCAAGCGUUAUCCGGAUUUACUGGGUGUAAAGGGAGCGCAGGCGGCACGGCAAGCCUGAUGUGAAAGCCCGUGGCUUAACUACGGGACUGCUCUGGAAACUGUGCAGCUAGAGUGCAGGAGAGGCAGGCGGAAUUCCUGGUGUAGCGGUGAAAUGCGUAGAUAUUAGGAGGAACACCAGUGGCGAAGGCGGCUUUCUGGCUCAUAACUGACGCUGAGGCGCGAAAGCGUGGGGAGCAAACAGGAUUAGAUACCCGAGUAA
rnacentral:rRNA from 1 species